rnacentral:Y_RNA from 1 species
GGCUAGUCCAAAGGUAGUACGUUAUCUUGGUUGUUCACAGUCAGUUACAGAUUAAACUCCUUGUUCUACUCUUUCCCCUCUUCUCACUACUUCACUUGACUAGUCUUAA